rnacentral:rRNA from 1 species
GACGAAGGAUGCAAGCGUUAUCCGGAUUCAUUGGGUUUAAAGGGUGCGUAGGCGGAUUGGUAAGUCAGUGGUGAAAUCUCGCAGCUUAACUGCGAAACUGCCAUUGAUACUGCUAAUCUAGAGUACAGUUGCCGUUGGCGGAAUAUGACAUGUAGUGGUGAAAUACAUAGAUAUGUCAUAGAACACCGAUUGCGAAGGCAGCUAACGAAGCUGUAACUGACGCUGAGGCACGAAAAGUGCGGGGAUCAAACAGG